rnacentral:rRNA from 1 species
UACGAAGGGGGGCUAGCGUUGCUCGGAAUCACUGGGCAUAAAGCGUGCGCAGGCGGUGAUGUAAGACCGAUGUGAAAUCCCCGGGCUUAACCUGGGAACUGCAUUGGUGACUGCAUUGCUAGAGUAUGGCAGAGGGGGGUGGAAUUCCACGUGUAGCAGUGAAAUGCGUAGAGAUGUGGAGGAACACCGAUGGCGAAGGCAGCCCCCUGGGCCAAUACUGACGCUCAUGCACGAAAGCGUGGGGAGCAAACAGGAUU